CAAGACCUGCGCUUUUGGAGCGGCCGAUGCCUGAUUAGCUUGUUGGUAAGGUAAAAGCUUACCGAGGCUUCGAUCAGUAGCUGGUCUGAGAGGACGACCAGCCACACUGGGACUGAGACACGGCCCAGACUCCUACGGGAGGCAGCAGUGGGGAAUUUUGGACAAUGGGGGCAACCCUGAUCCAGCCAUGCCGCGUGAGUGAAGAAGGCCUUCGGGUUGUAAAGCUCUUUCAGCCGGAACGAAACGGUUACGGAUAACACCCGUGACUACUGACGGUACCGGAAGAAGAAGCACCGGCUAACUACGUGCCAGCAGCCGCGGUAAUACGUAGGGUGCGAGCGUUAAUCGGAAUUACUGGGCGUAAAGCGUGCGCAGGUGGUUUUGUAAGUCAGAUGUGAAAGCCCCCGGCUCAACCUGGGAACU
rnacentral:rRNA from 1 species